UACGUAGGGGCAAGCGUUGUCCGGAAUCAUUGGGCGUAAAGCGCGUGUAGGCGGCCGAUAAGUCCGCUGUGAAAGUCCAAGGGCUCAACCCGUGGGAUGCCGGUGGAUACUGUCGGACUAGAAGUACGGAAGAGGCGAGUGGAAUUCCGGUGUAGCGGUGAAAUGCGCAGAUAUCGGAGGAACACCAAUGCGAAGGCAGCUCGCUGGACGUCGACUGACGCUGAGACGCGAAAGCGUGGGAG
rnacentral:rRNA from 1 species